rnacentral:misc_RNA from 1 species
GUAUAUUUCAAUUUUAUAUUUCCAAACAUUCUAAACAUAUGAAGAGGUUGUGAAAAAUGACAUAGAACCUGGAGAUGCAAGGCAAAGCUGAAACAGCAGUCCUGACUCGAAUUUUCAGAAAAUUCAUAAAGCUCCAGGGUCUACAAAAGGUGCACAGUUGGAGAAAUAACAAAGAUGAGACAAGCGUGCACGUAAUCUCCCUGAGGAGACCAGCAACAGCCUGUUCAAGUUUAUUCGAUAAUGAUCCUUCCGCAGGUUCACCUACGGAAA